GGAGGAAGAAGAAACGGUCUAAUACUCCGUAGAACGUUAAAUUUCAACAGGCGAAGCGACUUAGAUGUCCAAGCAGCGUAAGAAAUCUGUAGGUGAAUUAUCACAAGGAAGCAACCUAAGCACAAGUUCCGUCAGCAACUGUCGACCAGUGAAGCCAACGAAGCGGGAACAGCCAGAAGAUCGAAUAACAGAGCAGGCGCAGAGGGAGUCUGCUGCCACGAAGAUCCAACGUACCUGGCGCGUCUACAAGAAAAAGAAAGCUACGAAAUCUGGUGAAUCAUCGUUAAAUGCAUCUCAGGUGUCCAACAAAUAGGGUGAAAUCUCUUACUUCAAAGGCAAAAAGAGGGAAAAACAUACGCCUCUUGUGAACCGAGGAGCAGUGUGCCGAACGUUAUCUUCGAGCUACAUGACACACUCUAUUAGCACCUGAAGUAAAACUCAGUGGAAGACAUGGAAGAAAAAAUACAUGCGAUGUAAAGUUGUGAGAAUACAUUAUGCCUUCGGUCAGAACGAUAAAUGUUCUGUUUCAAGGGUGCCGUUCUACAUGAAACAAGGAAGAGAAGUGAGAAAGUACAUGGAGGGUGAAAGUCUGGACGAGCAGGCGUUACAAAUGUCCUUGUUAAGUAAUCAUCGUAAAGAUGGAAGGAAGGAACGCAUCAUACCGUGCCUUGCUUAUUGAACUGCAUCAACUUGCAGCGUUCCCUCCUAAUCUGUAAUUGUCCUGAUCUGAUUCGGUAUAACUGUCGCAUUUGCCCGCUGGAAGAUUCUGGUGUCUCGGAGCGAGCGAAAUGUCUAUGCGUGAAAUAUAUUCAUGCAAUGUCAUUGUGUGGCAAAAUCUCAAUAGAACUAGCAAUUCACUGCCACCUCUGCUCACAACUUUCAUAUCCUUCAAACGAUUUCGUCCCCGACAUGAUAGUAUACAUUUCGUUGCCAUUCAUCUUGUCUAGAAGCCCUGACUUUGUGUCACAACGAUGUGGAAGCUUGCACGUUGACAGAUAUGUAUCGUGCACUCGUGAUCGGAGCUGUGUGAGUUAAUAACGUAAUUCAGUUACAGUUACAUGACUUCGAAAGCAAUUGAGUUACAGGAAGUUACUGAAACUGGCCCGGACAGGAAAGGUCCUCUCUCAUUUUGCACCAGCCCGUCUCUGCAUUGACCCUCACUCCACCUAUCAAUAUGCAGCAGUGAGUCGAGCACACAUAUGGACAUGCUGCCGUCAUGCAGUUCUGAUGUAGUGAUCAUCAUCAUGUAGUGAUCGUCAUCAGCGUCUUGAUCAGCGUCAAAUGAUUGUAACAUCUACAUACCUGUCACUCAAAAGACAGAGGAAAGUGUGCCUAAAUGCUGUUGCAAUGCAGGACACCAUGGCGCACAUUUAAAGCUGGGAAGAUUGAAGCUUUCUUGCUGAAGAUAAAGGCGCAAAUAGACGAGGGCGGAGAAAAGGAACUGACACGAGGAAGCGCUACUCACAACUAACGUUUAUUUGAAUAAAAGAAUAAAGUGGGAGAGGAA